CCUACGGGACGCAGCAGUGGGGAAUAUUGCGCAAUGGGGGCAACCCUGACGCAGCAACGCCGCGUGAUUGAAGACGGCCUUCGGGUUGUAAAGAUCUUUAAUCGGGGACGAAUUUUGACGGUACCUGAAUAAGAAGCCCCGGCUAAUUACGUGCCAGCAGCCGCGGUAAUACGUAAGGGGCAAGCGUUAUCCGGAUUUACUGGGUGUAAAGGGUGAGUAGGCGGCGAUGCAAGUCAUAUGUGAAAUUCCGGGGCUUAACCCCGGAGCUGCAUAAGAAACUGCGUUGCUUGAGUGAAGGAGAGGCA
rnacentral:rRNA from 1 species